rnacentral:rRNA from 1 species
ACGUAGGGGGCGAGCGUUGUCCGGAAUUACUGGGCGUAAAGAGCACGUAGGCGGUUUAUUAAGUUAGAUGUGAAAGAUUGCAGCUUAACUGGAAAAGGGCAUUUGAAACUGGUAGACUUGAGUGUGGAAGAGGGAAGUGGAAUUCUCAGUGUAGCGGUAAAAUGCGUAGAGAUCAGGAGGAACACCGAUGGCGAAGGCAGCUUCUUGGACCAGUCCUGACGCUGAGGCGCGAAAGCGUGGGGAGCAAACAG